rnacentral:rRNA from 1 species
GAUGAACGCUGGCGGCGUGCCUAACACAUGCAAGUCGAACGGAGUCCAGCCUUUAAGACCUUCGGGUCAAAGAGGGGAAGACUGAGUGGCGGACGGGUGAGUAACACGUGGGCAACCUGGCUCAUAGAGGGGGAUAACAGAGAGAAAUUUCUGCUAAUACCGCAUAAGCACACACUGCCGCAUGGCAGAGGGUGAAAAGAGAAUCGCUAUGAGAUGGACCCGCGUCUGAUUAGCCAGUUGGCAGGGUAAGAGCCUACCAAAGCGACGAUCAGUAGCCGAUCUGAGAGGAUGAACGGCCACAAUGGGACUGAGACACGGCCCAGACUCCUACGGGAGGCAGCAGUGGGGGAUAUUGCACAAUGGGGGGAACCCUGAUGCAGCGACGCCGCGUGAGUGAAGAAGUAUUUCGGUAUGUAAAGCUCUAUCAGCAGGGAAGAUAAUGACAGUACCUGAAUAAGAAGCCCCGGCUAACUACGUG